GACGAACGCUGGCGGCGUGCCUAAUACAUGCAAGUCGAGCGCAGGAAACUGACGGAACUCUUCGGAGGGAAGGCAGUGGAAUGAGCGGCGGACGGGUGAGUAACACGUAAGGAACCUGCCUCAAGGAUUGGGAUAACUCCGAGAAAUCGGAGCUAAUACCGGAUAGUUCAACGGACCGCAUGGUCCGCUGAUGAAAGGCGCUCCGGCGUCACCUUGAGAUGGCCUUGCGGUGCAUUAGCUAGUUGGUGGGGUAACGGCCCACCAAGGCGACGAUGCAUAGCCGACCUGGGAGGGUGAUCGGCCACACUGGGACUGAGACACGGCCCAGACUCCUACGGGAGGAAGCAGUAGGGAAUCUUCCACAAUGGACGAAAGUCUGAUGGAGCAACGCCGCGUGAGUGAUGAAGGUUUUCGGAUCGUAAAACUCUGUUGUAAGGGAAGAACACGUACGAGAGGAAAUGCUCGUACCUUGACGGUACCUUACGAGAAAGCCACGGCUAACUACGUGCCAGCCGCCGCGGUAAAAC
rnacentral:rRNA from 1 species